ensembl:lncRNA
CACACACACACACACACACACACGCGCAGCUUCCAUCUUGUGGCAAACACGCAAACAUAUUGUUCAUCUUCAUGGCUGCUAUCUCCGUCACGCACACGCACACGCACACACACACACACACGCGCACAGCCUUUUGAUGCAAUCACCUGAUAUCCAUAGUGUGUGUGUGCAUCCAUCACUGUCUUUGAAAUGCUUUUAUUACAAUUUGAUACACAAGGACGAAUACAACGAAAACAAGCGCCCCUUCCUUGCUUCCUUGUUGAAGAGAAACCGAUGAAGAAGAAUGGUUCAUCUUCUGGGGUGCAUGAAGGUCUGAACCGGUGGUCCAUGGAGGGUUUAAGAAUCAAUGGGUUCAAACCAGUAGAAUCAAAUUUGUAGUACUUGAAUACGAAGUAGUACACGUAGUGUACAGUUUAGUAUACACAUGUACAUUGUAGUGUACGUAGUAUACGUGGAGUAAGGCGUACUGUACUUGUAGUACUACGCAGCGUAGUAUAAGUAGAGAACCACAAAGCGAUCUUUAACAUCUUCAUCAUGAUAUUUCUCAUGGUUUCAAAAAGGUUCCACAGCAGAAGAACUGGACCCGACGCGUUGAUAGUUCGGGACGUUCUGAUGUUCCCGUGCUGCUCUCGGCCCACACGUCCUCCCAGAAGAUGCCCAGCGGCUCAACCUGCCCAGGUCAAAGGCCAGAGGAGCUGGUUCUGAAGUCUCUGCGGUCCAGGUGAAGGCCUCACUGACGCAGUCUGGGACUGGAUGUGUCAAUGAACAGGUCAGAUUCAAAGGGAAACUUCACCUGAAAUGAUUUUAAUCACAAUUCUUCCUUCUGCUUUUUACGUAAAUACAAAAAUACCACAAAGUUGUCUUUCCAGUCUGCUUUAGUCCGUAUAAAACUGCGCCCUGAGAACUUUCUGUUGAAAUCCAGAGGAAUAUUAAAACCGUUUAGAGACCGAGCAGUGCAUUAAUAACUAAAGAAACCGGGUUCCGUGAGGAGGGGUCGGGUGGGGGGGGGCAGCUCUGGACCUUCUAGAGAGUUAAGAAGCAGAUCACAAACACAUCCACCAAGGUGUCCGUCAGGACAGGAGGAGGUAGACAGAAGAGACGCUAACAGUGAUGUGGUAGUUGGAGUCCUAACUGUGGGAAAGUCACUUCCUGCCGAGGCUCCUGGGUCGUACCCGCGCUCAACUCUUCCCUGUGAGGUCAACUUGUCGUCCGGUUUUGGUCAAACUGUAAAAGGUUCUGUGAUAAAAUAGCAGACGGUCCACUCAAGGCCUGACUCCCCCAGGUGAGGCUACGACGGGGUUAGGAGGCUAGGAGGCUAGGAGGCAGGAGAGGGAGGAGGAGGCGGGUCUGCUGCUCGGGUCUCCUGGACUUGGCCAAAGUGAUGAGAUCAUUUUGAGAGUUUGAUCCCCUCUGGGCUCCAAACUGGUUCCCAGUCCAGACAGGAUUUCUCGUAUGGAAUUGUAAUCCUGUCGCAAGUUGUAGUCCUUCAUUCUUCAACCAGUGAGCUGGAUUUGUAGUCCGUGUGCGGCGGUGACUUCCUGUUCCACAGAUAGCGGAGCGAAGGCUAGAAGAACCAACGGAACGCCUCGCCAUCCGUCCCGACCGGCGGGCGCUAACAUAAGAGACAGAAAGAAAAGACGUGAGACACAGAAUGAGAAUAUGUCAACAGUCCUCCAGAAAGUCCGGACCAUCUGGGGGGGUUUGGAUCCAGAACUGGUCUCAGUCUCUAGUUUCAAGUCUUCUUCAAUACAGCACGACGUUCAUGUACUUCAUUUAGUACAUUAUGGUCCAUUUAAAGCAGUGGUUCUGUGGUCUGGCUCCGGGACCCCCCAUCACCCCUAAUGACGAACCGCGACCCAAAUCCAGGAACAUUCUCAACUUCUCAAAUUUAUUUAAUGAAAACAUGGUGCAGUUUGAACCUGAGACAGAAUACGUACGACAACACAAAACAAGUUUAAUGAAAAAGCAAAAGAGCCAUCUGUUAAUUCCCCUUCUCAUUCUCCCAGGCAGAGGCCUUUAAAACGGGUCCCGCCAGUCGAGAACCACUGAUUUAAAGGGAAACGGACCAUAAAGCAGGGGAUGAUUUAGGGCGGGGCUACACGCUGAUUGACAGGUCUCUAUGUCCUUCUCACUCCUUGUGAUGUCACUUCCUGUUCACUGGACAACGAUGAGGCAAGAAUGUGAAACCUGCUACACACACACACACACACACACACACACACACACACACACACUCUGCAGUCACACGCCACCAGUAUCCACAGGUCCAAUUAGUGUGUAAUUGAGGGAGAUUAUGGCUGUUAAUUCAGCCUCUUACAGUGUGUGUGUGUGUGUGUGUGUGUGUGUGUGUGAUAUAUUGAGUCAUCAGUGAGGUUGAACGCUGGUAUCAAUAAAUUAUUGAUCGGUGCUAAUUCUUACUACACACACACACAGGAGCUAAUAACAAAUAAUCUCCUUUCCCUUGUUUUAUCACCCUGAAUCAGUGGAGAGUCACUGUGUGUGUGUGUGUGUCUGUGUGUGUGUGUGUGUGUCUGU